rnacentral:rRNA from 1 species
UACAGAGGAUGCAAGCGUUAUCCGGAAUUAUUGGGCGUAAAGCGUCUGUAGGUGGCUUUUUAAGUCCGCCGUCAAAUCCCAGGGCUCAACUCUGGACAGGCGGUGGAAACUACCAAGCUGGAGUACGGUAGGGGCAGAGGGAAUUUCCGGUGUAGCGGUGAAAUGCGUAGAUAUCGGAAGGAACACCAGUGGCGAAAGCGGCUUCCUGGUCCGACACCGACGUUCAGGCACGAAAGCGUGGGGAGCAAACAGG